UACAGAGGGUGCGAGCGUUAAUCGGAAUUACUGGGCGUAAAGCGCGCGUAGGCGGCUUUGCAAGUCGAGUGUGAAAUCCCCAGGCUUAACCUGGGAACUGCAUUCGAGACUGCAUAGCUAGAGUAUGGGAGAGGGAAGUGGAAUUUCAGGUGUAGCGGUGAAAAUGCGUAGAUAUCUGAAGGAACAUCAGUGGCGAAAAGCGACUUCCUGGACCAAUACUGACGCUCAUGUGCGAAAGCGUGGGGAGCAAACAGG
rnacentral:rRNA from 1 species